AGCAGCCGCGGUAAUUCCAGCUCCAAUAGCGUAUAUUAAAGUUGUUGCAGUUAAAAAGCUCGUAGUUGAAUUUCGGGAUCAAUACGUCGGUCGUGCUUCGGUACGUACUGGCGUCAUUGAUUUCUCCCUUCUGACGAACCAUGAUGUCAUUAACUUGGUGUCAUGGGAAAUCAGGACUGUUACUUUGAAAAAUUAGAGUGUUUAAAGCAGGCUCACGCUUGAAUACAUUAGCAUGGAAUAAUGAAAUAGGACGUUCGAACCUAUUUUGUUGGUUUCUAGGAUCAACGUAAUGAUUAAUAGGGAUAGUUGGGGGCAUUAGUAUUCAAUUGUCAGAGGUGAAAUUCUUGGAUUUAUUGAAGACUAACUACUGCGAAAGCAUUUGCCAAGGAUGUUUUCAUUAAUCAAGAACGAAAGUUAGGGGAUCGAAGACGAUCAGAUACCGUCGUAGCCUUAACCAUAAACUAUGCCGACUAGGGAUCGGAUGAUGUAAUUUUU
rnacentral:rRNA from 1 species